UUGCUUCCGCAGCACAUAUUACUAAAAUUGGAACAACCCAGAGAAGAUUAACAUGGCCCCUGCUCAAAGACCACAUGCAAAUUUGUGAAGCAUCUCCCUUUUUU